UCGGGGUGAGCGGCGGACGGGUUAGUAACGCGUGGGAACGUACCCUUCUCUACGGAAUAGCCAUUGGAAACGAUGAGUAAUACCGGAUAGUCUCUUCGGAGUAAAAAUUUAUUGCUUGGGGAGGAGCCUACGUUCUAUCAGCUAGUUGGUGAGGUAAAAGCUCACCAAGGCUAUGACGGAUAGUUGGUCUGAGAGGAUGACCAGCCACAAUGGAACUGAGACACGGUCCAUACUCC
rnacentral:rRNA from 1 species